UCCCGCGUGAAGGACGACGGCCCUAUGGGUUGUAAACUUCUUUUGUAUAGGGAUAAACCUUUCCACGUGUGGAAAGCUGAAGGUACUAUACGAAUAAGCACCGGCUAACUCCGUGCCAGCAGCCGCGGUAAUACGGAGGGUGCAAGCGUUAUCCGGAUUUAUUGGGUUUAAAGGGUCCGUAGGCGGGCUCGUAAGUCAGUGGUGAAAUCUCAUAGCUUAACUAUGAAACUGCCAUUGAUACUGCGAGCCUUGAGUAAGGUAGAGGUAGCUGGAAUAAGUAGUGUAGCGGUGAAAUGCAUAGAUAUUACUUAGAACACCAAUUGCGAAGGCAGGUUACCAUGUCUUAACUGACGCUGAU
rnacentral:rRNA from 1 species